rnacentral:rRNA from 1 species
UAGCAUAUCAAUAAGCGGAGGAAAAGAAACUAACAAGGAUUCCCCUAGUAACUGCGAGUGAAGCGGGAAAAGCUCAAAUUUAAAAUCUGGUGGUCUUUGGCCAUCCGAGUUGUAAUUUAGAGAAGUGUCUUCCGCACCAGACCGUGCACAAGUCUCCUGGAAUGGAGCGUCAUAGAGGGUGAGAAUCCCGUCUUUGGCAUGGAUGCCUGGUGCUUCUGUGAUGCACUCUCGAAGAGUCGAGUUGUUUGGGAAUGCAGCUCAAAAUGGGUGGUGAACUCCAUCUAAAGCUAAAUAUUGGCGAGAGACCGAUAGCGAACAAGUACCGUGAGGGAAAGAUGAAAAGCACUUUGGAAAGAGAGUGAAACAGUACGUGAAAUUGUUGAAAGGGAAACGCUUGAAGUCAGUCGCGUCGACUGAGACUCAGCCUUGCCUUGGCUUGGUGUACUUCUCGGCCUGACGGGUCAGCAUCAAUUUUGCCCCUCGGAUAAUGGCAAGGGAAAGGUGGCACCUUUACGGGUGUGUUAUAGUCUCCUGUCGCAUGUGAGGGGUGAGAUUGAGGAACUCAGCGUGCACCUUGGUGUCGGGGCUUUGGCCCACGUCACACGCUUAGGAUGCUGGCAUAAUGGCUUUAAACGACCCGUCUUGAAACACGGACCAAGGAGUCCAACAUGUCCGCGAGUGUUCGGGUGGAAAACCUGUGCGCGUAAUGAAAGUGAAAGUUGGGACCUCUGUCGUAGAGGGCACCGACGCCCGGACCAGACCUUCUGUGACGGAUCUGCGGUAGAGCGUGUAUGUUGGGACCCGAAAGAUGGUGAACUAUGCCUGAAUAGGGUGAAGCCAGAGGAAACUCUGGUGGAGGCUCGUAGCGAUCU